AUACCGGCGGCUCGAGUGGUGGCCACUUUUAUUGGGCUUAAAGCGUUCGUAGCUGGGUUGGUAAGUCUCUUGGGAAAUCCGACGGCUUAACCGUCGGGCGUCUAAGAGAUACUGCAAAUCUUGGAACCGGGAGAGGUGAGGGGUACUUCGGGGGUAGGAGUGAAAUCCUGUAAUCCUCGAGGGACCACCUGUGGCGAAGGCGCCUCACCAGAACGGCUUCGACAGUGAGGGACGAAAGCUGGGGGAGC
rnacentral:rRNA from 1 species